UCUGAACCUUAAAUCGGAUUGGAUUCUGAUGGGAUGAAUAUGUCAGAUUAAUUUGGGAUAGGAUCAGACCAGGUUAAUUCAAAUGACAAAUAUCAGUUGAAUUUGGGGGGGGACGUCGAUGUGGUUACCAAUUGCCAAAGAAGGCUAAGAUUGUCUAGCCAAAUUGUGGGCAAAAGGAGAAUAAUAAGAGCAAUAAUGACAACAAAGCAUUGAUUUCCACCAAGUGUCAAUCCUUCAAGUUUAAUUGCCAUAUCUGGAAAAAGAUUCUCCAACUCCUCUCUUUCGAAGAUCAAGAAUCAAUUAGUAGAGGUCAUGACAACUGAAACAAUUAGUCUUUCCUUCUUCCCAGAGGCUCGGUGCUGGCUGGUUCGGGAGUUGAUGUGGGUUUGGGGCUGCCGACUACGUUUGUGGCUGCGGGUUUGUGAAUCUGGCCAACGAUGUCAAUGCGGCUGGGUUCGUGGGUUUGGUUGGGUUCGUAGACUUUGUCUAAUUCAAGUUGACAAGUUCUUAUCCGAAUCCAAUCCAAUGCCUAGUCCUAGUAAGCAUGCUCAAAAGGUAUGGAAACUGACCGCUUUUCGUACGGUAAAUGUUGGGUGCACUUCAAGAGCUGGCAACGAGCAGUGAGGAAGGAGAACACACUGAAUCGGAUUCCUCUUAAUACGAAAGGCAGCAAGGCAGCAAUAUUUUGUGUAUCAAACAACUUCUUGAACUCCAUUUCCUUCAUCUAGCACAAUUGAUGAAAUAAUAAGUCAAUAACAAGCAGAGAGUCUCCUGUGAUAAUUUGAAAAGUAAAACUAUCUUUC
rnacentral:lncRNA from 1 species